rnacentral:rRNA from 1 species
UACGUAGGUGGCAAGCGUUGUCCGGAAUUAUUGGGCGUAAAGAGCUCGUAGGCGGUUUGUCGCGUCUGCCGUGAAAGUCCGGGGCUUAACUCCGGAUCUGCGGUGGGUACGGGCAGACUUGAGUGAUGUAGGGGAGACUGGAAUUCCUGGUGUAGCGGUGAAAUGCGCAGAUAUCAGGAGGAACACCGAUGGCGAAGGCAGGUCUCUGGGCAUUAACUGACGCUGAGGAGCGAAAGCAUGGGGAGCGAACAGG